rnacentral:miRNA from 1 species
CCCGGGGCCCGGCGUUGCCGCCCCUUCCGUGUGCACGUGGAGGCCGGGGUGGGGCGGGGCAGG